rnacentral:lncRNA from 1 species
GCUCGGGCUCGGCGCGGACCCGCCCGGGCGCACUCCUUCCGCUGGCGUCCGGCGUCCUGCCGCCCUGCGCGGAGCCGGCCAGCGGUCUCCGCCACCCCUGAGGGCGCUCCCGGCCCCCAGCGCGGAGGCUCGCGGGCGGAGGUCGCAACGAGAGGCUGGACCGCGGUGGCGCGCGGCUCGCCUUCCCGCAGGUGUUCCUUUGAUACAGCGGAAGGUGCCUCUGCUCUUCUGCCUGAGAGUGGUUCAAAAUAUACAGGCUUCUUGCUAUAACCGGCUAAAGGUUUCCCAUGGAUGUAGAGCGUCUCUGAGUCCACUGAGACGUUUUCAGAGCCUGUUCCGAACACGCGUCCUCGGCCAAGUGGGCUUGUUCCUGGUGGAGCUUGGUUUCUUCAGCUCCCUGCAUCCUAAGACUUGACAAACAGUCUCAUCAGUUCUGCUCUGCCCACUUAGCAAGUGACACCUGGGCCUGUGUCUCAGCAGUGACCCUUCCAGACGCAGCUUUCCAGCAUAGGUGAAACUGGGCCAGUCCCCUUACCCGUGCCACCCGGCUCCCUGGGAAUCGGGCUACAAACCUCAGCUGCUCCCACAACCCAACCUGGUCCCCGAGUCCUGCUGCCUCCACGGCGUGGUCCCCUGCAAUGCCCUG